GGAAGAUUUUAGGUGUAGAUUGGUUUACCCCAUUUUCAAUUGCUAUUUGUACCACCACUACUGUAAAAACUAGAAAACCUAAGGGAAAAGGAGAAGAACUUAAGUAGGCAGAAAAUUCGUAUCUUCUGGCAACAAAAACCAGUCGUCAUAAAAAUACCUCUCCAGUCUCUUAUGCUGGAAGAGUCAUUGGUACCAAUCUUUGCAGCAAGAACUGGGAGCUUUGGGACAGGACCUUGCAAAGGCAUUCUCAUGAAAAAAAACAAAAUCCAUUCACCACCAAGCUGCUAUACUAAUUCUUCAAGAGUUCUCCAGAUUCUGGUAGUGUUAUCAUCAGUGUUUUUGAAGGUCAAGCUAAUGAAGAAAUCUACAGAAGCACUUCCCGUCUUAAGGAGAACAAAUCACAGCAGAGAAGGAAAGGAAAACUAACACUUAAUUAGCACUGAAAUUCAAGAACAUCUGAAUCCAGAUGAAAAGCUGUGGUCAUCUUUCUUCUCUAAAAAGAAAUGAAUCCAGACACCCUUGGACUUUGUGUUGAGCCAGUUCUGGAAGCCGGCGCUCUCUCUAAUCUUUAUUGACCUGUGACCCUUUCAUGUGUAACUCAAUUAAGUGAAUUUGGCAUUCUAACAAAGUGGCUAAGCCAAACGCUC
ensembl:lncRNA